rnacentral:lncRNA from 1 species
AAGGAUGCUAACUGCACCUGGGACUCGUGCUAGUCACACACUACCUAGGAAAAGCAUGUUCUCUGCACUUUCUUCGACAUUGACUUUCAUUGAUGAAGAUCUGCAGGACUUACUGAGAUUACACAAGAGGAAGUGAUGAGGCAUUUUUCUGAAUGUUGAAACUAGUCUCUUUGUCCAUGAAUACCGGCACUGACUGAAAGAAUGCUUUGAAGAAAUUCCUCAAAGGUAAAAGGAACAAAAAGAUGAUGAAAGCCAAGAAGACAAAUAUGAACAAAGGCAGCAAAUGUAUAAACAGCUACAGGGGUCUCUGUGAGUUUGGAGGU